CCUACGGGAGGCAGCAGUGAGGGAUAUUGCACAAUGGGGGAAACCCUGAUGCAGCGAAGCCGCGUGAGUGAAGAAGUAUCUCGGUAUGUAAAGCCCUAUCAGCCGGGGAGAAAGAGGACGGUACCUGACUAAGAAGCCCCGGCUAACUACGUACGAGCAGCCGCGGUAAUACGUAGGGGGCGAGCGUUAUCCGGAUUCACUGGGUGUACAGGGGGCGUAGACGGCCGUGCAAGCCAGGAGUGAACGCCCGGGGCCCAACCCCGGGACUGCGCUUGGAACUGUGCGGCUGGAGUGCGGGAGGGGCAGGCGGAAUGCGGGGUGUAGCGGUGAAAUGCGUAGAUAUCAGGAGGAACACCGGCGGCGAAGGCGGCCUGCUGGACCGCGACUGACGUUGAGGCUCGAAAGCGUGGGGAGCGAACAGGAUUAGAUACCCUAGUAGUC
rnacentral:rRNA from 1 species